GUAUCAUGGCUCAGGAUGAACGCUAGCUACAGGCUUAACACAUGCAAGUCGAGGGGCAGCAUGGUCUUAGCUUGCUAAGGCCGAUGGCGACCGGCGCACGGGUGAGUAACACGUAUCCAACCUGCCGUCGUACGUCUUGGACAGCCUUCUGAAAGGAAGAUUAAUACAAGAUGGCAUCAUGAGUUCACAUGUUCACAUGAUUAAAGGUNUUCCGGUAGACGAUGGGGA
rnacentral:rRNA from 1 species